rnacentral:rRNA from 1 species
CGAAGCGUGCGAUUGGAUUGCACGUCUAAGCAGUAAGGCUGAGUAUUAGGCAAAUCCGGUACUCAUUAAGGCUGAGCUGUGAUGGGGAGAAGACAUUGUGUCUUCGAGUCGUUGAUUUCACACUGCCGAGAAAAGCCUCUAGAUAGAAAAUAGGUGCCCGUACCGCAAACCGACACAGGUAGUCAAGAUGAGAAUUCUAAGGUGAGCGAGCGAACUCUCGUUAAGGAACUCGGCAAAAUGACCCCGUAACUUCGGGAGAAGGGGUGCUCUUUAGGGUUAACGCCCAGAAGAGCCGCAGUGAAUAGGCCCAAGCGACUGUUUAUCAAAAACACAGGUCUCUGCUAAACCGUAAGGUGAUGUAUAGGGGCUGACGCCUGCCCGGUGCUGGAAGGUUAAGAGGAGUGGUUAGCUUCUGCGAAGCUACGAAUCGAAGCCCCAGUAAACGGCGGCCGUAACUAUAACGGUCCUAAGGUAGCGAAAUUCCUUGUCGGGUAAGUUCCGACCCGCACGAAAGGCGUAACGAUUUGGGCACUGUCUCAACGAGAGACUCGGUGAAAUCAUAGUACCUGUGAAGAUGCAGGUUACCCGCGACAGGACGGAAAGACCCCGUGGAGCUUUACUGUAGCCUGAUAUUGAAAUUCGGCACAGCUUGUACAGGAUAGGUAGGAGCCUUUGAAACGUGAGCGCUAGCUUACGUGGAGGCGCUGGUGGGAUACUACCCUAGCUGUGUUGGCUUUC